AUUGAACGCUGGCGGCAGGCCUAACACAUGCAAGUCGAACGAGUGGCGGACGGGUGAGUAAUGUCUAGGAAACUGCCCGAUGGAGGGGGAUAACUACUGGAAACGGUAGCUAAUACGGCAUACCAUCAGAUUUGCCAAGAUGGGAUUCGCUAGUAGGUGGGGUAAAGGCUCACCUAGGCGACGAUCCCUAGCUGGUCUGAGAGGAUGAACAGCCAAACUGGAACUGAGACACGGUCCAGAUUCCUACGGAAGGCAGCAGUGGGGAAUAUUGCCCAAUGGGGGCAAGCCUGAUGCAGCCAUCCCGCGUGUAUGAAGAAGGCCUUCGUGUUGUAAAGUACUUUCAGCGAGGAGGCGUUACUCGCAGAAGAAGCACCGGCUAACUCCGUGCCAGCAGCCGCGGUAAUAC
rnacentral:rRNA from 1 species